GAUGAACGCUGGCGGCGUGCCUAAUACACGCAAGUCGAGCGAAUGGAUUAAGAGCUUGCUCUUAUGAAGUUAGCGGCGGACGGGUGAGUAACACGUGGGUAACCUGCCCAUAAGACUGGGAUAACUCCGGGAAACCGGGGCUAAUACCGGAUAACAUUUCGAACCGCAUGGUUCGAAAUUGAAAGGCGGCUUCGGCUGUCACUUAUGGAUGGACCCGCGUCGCAUUAGCUAGUUGGUGAGGUAACGGCUCACCAAGGCAACGAUGCGUAGCCGACCUGAGAGGGUGAUCGGCCACACUGGGACUGAGACACGGCCCAGACUCCUACGGGAGGCAGCAGUAGGGAAUCUUCCGCAAUGGACGAAAGUCUGACGGAGCAACGCCGCGUGAGUGAUGAAGGCUUUCGGGUCGUAAAACUCUGUUGUUAGGGAAGAACAAGUGCUAGUUGAAUAAGCUGGCACCUUGACGGUACCUAACCAGAAAGCCACGGCUAACUACGUGCCAGCCGCCGCGGUAA
rnacentral:rRNA from 1 species